rnacentral:rRNA from 1 species
GAUGAACGCUGGCGGCGUGCUUAACACAUGCAAGUCGAACGAUGAAGCCCAGCUUGCUGGGUGGAUUAGUGGCGAACGGGUGAGUAACACGUGAGUAACCUGCCCUUAACUCUGGGAUAAGCCUGGGAAACUGGGUCUAAUACCGGAUAGGAGCGUCCACCGCAUGGUGGGUGUUGGAAAGAUUUAUCGGUUUUGGAUGGACUCGCGGCCUAUCAGCUUGUUGGUGAGGUAAUGGCUCACCAAGGCGACGACGGGUAGCCGGCCUGAGAGGGUGACCGGCCACACGGGGACUGAGACACGGCCCAGACUGCUACGGGAGGCAGCAGUGGGGAAUAUUGCACAAUGGGCGCAAGCCUGAUGCAGCGACGCCGCGUGAGGGAUGACGGCCUUCGGGUUGUAAACCUCUUUCAGUAGGGAAGAAGCGAAAGUGACGGUACCUGCAGAAGAAGCACCGGCUAACUACGUG